rnacentral:rRNA from 1 species
UACGCAGGGGGCUAGCGUUGCUCGGAAUCACUGGGCGUAAAGCGCACGUAGGCGGCCUCUUAAGUCAGGGGUGAAAUCCUGGAGCUCAACUCCAGAACUGCCUUUGAUACUGGGAGCCUUGAGUUCGGGAGAGGUGAGUGGAACUGCGAGUGUAGAGGUGAAAUUCGUAGAUAUUCGCAAGAACACCAGUGGCGAAGGCGGCUCACUGGCCCGAUACUGACGCUGAGGUGCGAAAGCGUGGGGAGCAAACAGG